UACGGAGGGUGCGAGCGUUUGUCCGGAAUCAUUGGGCGUAAAGGGCGCGUAGGUGGCGAGACAAGCGUGCGGUGAAAGCCUGGGGCUCAACCCCGGGUCGGCCGUGCGAACUGUUUUGCUUGAGCACUGUAGAGGCAGGCGGAAUUCCGGGUGUAGCGGUGGAAUGCGUAGAGAUCCGGAAGAACACCGGUGGCGAAGGCGGCCUGCUGGGCAGUAGCUGACACUGAGGCGCGGACAGCGUGGGGAGCAAACAGG
rnacentral:rRNA from 1 species